GGGGGCAUGCGGAAUUAGGGUUUCCAAUGAAGGAUUUGGUGCGGCUGAAUGUGGGUGCAAAUUGACGCAAGUUAUUAGGGUUUGCAAUGAAGGAUUUGAUGCAGGCCGACGAUUUCUGAGUUGUCCAUACGAGGGGUUAAACUCCUGUGGGUAUUUGAGGUGGAUGGAUGAUGCAUGGCAGGGCAGAUCAAGGGUGGUAAUUGGAAAGCUUGCAAAUGACAACCAGAAGCUACAAAAUGCUUUGCUUGACAAGGAACACGACAUUCAGAGGAUGAAGAAAGAGAGGAAUAAAUUAGAUGAGCAGAG